rnacentral:tRNA from 1 species
UCUCAGAUGGUAACGCAUCUGCUUACAAUGCAGAAGACCCAGGUUCGAUUCCUGGGUUGAGAA